UCUCGAUAAAGGCAAAACUGGCGAAAGCCAGUGACGCAAAGCUAACAGGGGCUUAGGUGCAAAUGCGCACUAUGCCAGCCAGCUACCGUA
rnacentral:ncRNA from 1 species